rnacentral:rRNA from 1 species
UACGGAGGGUGCAAGCGUUGUUCGGAAUUACUGGGCGUAAAGGGCUCGUAGGCGGCCAACUAAGUCAUACGUGAAAUCCCUCAGCUUAACUGGGGAACUGCGUGUGAUACUGGAUGGCUUGGAUUUGGGAGAGGGAUGCGGAAUUCCAGGUGUAGCGGUGAAAUGCGUAGAUAUCUGGAGGAACACCGGUGGCGAAGGCGGCAUCCUGGACCAAUAUUGACGCUGAGGAGCGAAAGCCAGGGGAGCAAACGGG